GGGACGUAGUAACUCCACCUUACGUCUGAUUACUGAGUCUGGUGUUGAUAGAACAACAAUGAUAAUUCACAUCACCAGGUGGCCUCUGCUGGUUGUGAUGCUGAUUCUUCUGCUUCUCUUUUGUCUGUGGACGAGGAAGAAGAAAGCUGUGAGCUCCACCACUGAACCACAUGAGUCCAGAGAGG